CUUGAACGCUAGCGGGAUGCCUUACACAUGCAAGUCGAACGGAGUGGCAAACGGGUGAGUACUGUAUCGGCACGUGCCCAGUAGCGGGGGAUAACUACGCGAAAGCGUAGCUAAUACCGCAUACUCUUGGAGCCGCCGAUGUCGGAUUCGCGAGUUGGUGGGGUAACGUCUCACCAAGGCGACGAUCCGUAGCUGGUUUGAGCGGACGACCAGCCACACUGGGACGGAGACACGGCCCAGACUCCUACGGGAGGCAGCAGUGGGGAAUUUUGGACAAUGGGGGAAACCCGGAUUCAGCCAUCCCGCGUGUGCGAGGAAGGCCUUCGGGUUGUAAAGCACUUUUGGCAGGAAAGCGGUACCUGCAGAAUAAGCACCGGCUAACUACGUGCCAGCAGCCGCGGUAAUAC
rnacentral:rRNA from 1 species